UACGGCCACAUCACAUUUUAAACACUGGUUCUCGUACGAUCACCGAAGUUAAUCUACAUCCAGUCUAGUCAGUACCUUGAUGGGUGACCACUUGAGAAUACUAUGUGCUGUAAG